UCUCUAAGCAACGGAUGUCUUGGCUCCUCACACGAUGAAGAACGUGGCAUAAUGUGUUAAGUAACCGGAGUUGCAAACAUCAUGACAGGUUAAUCUUUGAAUGCAAAUUGCGCUUACCCGGCUUCGGCCGAGGAGCAUGCGUGUAACAGUAC
rnacentral:rRNA from 1 species